CUCUUCUGUAGUAGUUGAUUCUUCCCAGGCC
rnacentral:piRNA from 2 species